UUCAAAAUCAUUUGUCAAUCCGAAUUUUAACGGUAAAUAGAAAAAUCAAGGAUGAAUUACAAUUUUACCUUUUAUAUUCCAAAACUUAAACCAAUAUCAUAAUUAGAAGAGAGUAAAGUUCAAAAUUGUUUGUCAAAUGGAAUGUUAACGGCAAAUAGAAAUCAAAGAUGAACACUUCGCUCGCGGUGGCAAGGUUGUCAAGUUUGAUUUGAGGACAAUUCGUGAUAAAUUUUGAACAGGCAGAGUUGCGCAAGGCUAUUGUGAUUUAGGGACCAGGGAGACCUAGGAGCCAACUUAAGAAGAAGAUGAAGAGAAGGAGUUAAGCCGAGAACUUUCCUAAGUUUGGCAAAUACUAUAUAGAUAUCUCUUAAAUAAGAAGAUGAAGAAGGCUCUCAUUAACAUUAUAUUAAAAGGGAGAGAGUUCCUCUUAAAGCACCGAAUCUAAUAGCACUUAAGAAUUCCCUUUGGAGCACCGAUCAAUAUAUCUUUGUAUUAUUUAUUUCAUUUAUAUCAAUGCAUAAAUUAUGUGAAAUUAAUGGUUGUCAAACUUUUGGACCAGAACCUGAAUAGAAAAUGGCAAAAAGGGAUUAUCCUCAUUGCUUUUUGUAAUAAUCUUGUUGACGUAAAU